GUGGAUUAGAUACCCUGGUAGUCCUGGCAGUAAACGGUGCGCGUUUGGUGUGGGAGGAUUCGACCCCUUCUGUGCCGGAGCUAACGCGUUAAACGCGCCGCCUGGGGAGUACGGUCGCAAGAUUAAAACUCAAAGAAAUUGACGGGGGCCCGCACAAGCGGUGGAGUAUGUGGCUUAAUUCGAUGCAACGCGAAGAACCUUACCUGGGCUUGACAUGCAUCUCUAAGUCGGUGAAAGCCGGCGAGUGUAGCAAUACACAAUUUGCACAGGUGCUGCAUGGCCGUCGUCAGCU
rnacentral:rRNA from 1 species